rnacentral:tRNA from 1 species
GCCCGGGUGGUGAAAUCGGUAGACACAAGGGAUUUAAAAUCCCUCGCUCAUAGAGCGUGCCAGUUCGAGUCUGGCUCCGGGCACCA